CAGAGGUCGUGAUGGCUUGGCAUCAUUAUAUGUUGAUCCUGACCCCAAGCGGAUCAGAAACUGUUAAAUUUCAUCUGCUUUACCUUUAAAGAGCCUAAAUGUAUGGAACCUAGAGAAACUCCUUCUGGAAGUGUACCUGCUAAGUAACAACCAUUAAGAAAUAUCUUUACACCACCACCAUCCUUCCGCACCUGAUAACUGGAGCCUUUUCUGGUGAAAUAAGACUCCCUGGAAGUGCACAUGAGAGCUAGCUGCAUGCUUCUGACACCAUCACUGGAAGAGCUUGCAGUUUCUUCUGCAGACAUGCUUUUGCCGAAGAAAGAUGGUAGAAGACUGCUGAGACUCCAGGCAAGAGAGACAGGCAGCAAAAGUUCAGACAAGUCUGUUAGUUUUAAGUCAUUUAAUCUCUUUAUUGUCAACUUGUUGUGCAUUACUGCACAACACACAGACUGUGACACUUGCGUCUUUGUUCUUCAGGUUGGAGUCUGUGGUUUUGAACCCUUGCACAUUCUCUGCCAGAAAAGCAGCUCCUUCCUGGUUUGGAUAUCUUUGAGAAUGUUUUUGAUUCCUGUGGAUUUCAUUGAUUGCUUUGAUUCUGGAAGCCACAGAACUGAUUUUCUUUUUGGGCUGUCUCAGUGGCUCCCUCAUCUGCAGCUCCAUAGGCUUAGUGAGCAUCUGAAUAGAUUUCACCUUUUUGACACUUUGGAUUUUCUCCUUCAAAGACAUAUGGAACUGGCAGCCUAGCAGCUCCUUGGUGAUGUGCCCGUCUUAAAUAAGACGUCUUGCAUGGUUCUUGAUGAUUGCAUUAAUGGCUCUAAUUUUGGAAGCAGCAGACAGCAUGGUGCUUUUGGCCUCACGUAGUGCUUCCUUCCUCUGUGCCCUUGGAAUUGUCUGGUCCGGAUAGCACUCACCUUUUGGACACUUGUCUUCAGUUUUCCUCAAGUUGAGAGUUUCUGUGCAUCUCUGAGAAACUGGUGACAGAAAAUGUAGACCUUUAGAGACUGAAAACAAGGAAAGAAGGCUGCCUUCAGCAGAGAAGGUGUUGUGGUUUAACCCGGCCGGCAGCUAAACACCACGCAGCCGUUCGCUUACCCUCCCC